UACGUAGGUGGCAAGCGUUGUCCGGAUUUAUUGGGUUUAAAGGGUGCGUAGGCGGUCCCAUAAGUCAGUGCUGAAAUAUCCCGGCUUAACCGGGAGGGUGGCAUUGAUACUGUGGGACUUGAGUAAAGUUGAGGUUGGCGGAAUUGACGGUGUAGCGGUGAAAUGCUUAGAUAUCGUCAAGAACACCUAUUGCGAAGGCAGCUAACUAAGCUUUAACUGACGCUGAGGCCCGAAAGUGUGGGGAUCAAACAGG
rnacentral:rRNA from 1 species